rnacentral:rRNA from 1 species
GACGAACGCUGGCGGCGUGCUUAACACAUGCAAGUCGUACGGUAAGGCCCUUUCGGGGGUACACGAGUGGCGAACGGGUGAGUAACACGUGAGUAACCUGCCCACAACUUUGGGAUAACGCUAGGAAACUGGUGCUAAUACUGGAUAUGUGCUCCUGCUGCAUGGUGGGGGUUGGAAAGCUCCGGCGGUUGUGGAUGGACUCGCGGCCUAUCAGCUUGUUGGUGGGGUAGUGGCCUACCAAGGCGGCGACGGGUAGCCGGCCUGAGAGGGUGACCGGCCACAUUGGGACUGAGAUACGGCCCAGACUCCUACGGGAGGCAGCAGUGGGGAAUAUUGCACAAUGGGCGCAAGCCUGAUGCAGCAACGCCGCGUGCUGGAUGACGGCCUUCGGGUUGUAAACCGCUUUCAGCAGGGACGAAGCUUUUUGUGACGGUACCUGCAGAAGAAGCACCGGCUAACUACGUG